UCCUCGACGAGAUAGCGGCGAACGAGUUAGUAAUACCUUGGUACAUACCUCAGAGUCGGGCAUAGCUCGCCGAAAGGCGGGGUAAUUUCCGAUAGCGUAGCAAUACUAAAGUCGCAAGACGCUUUGAGAUUGGCCUAGGUCUGAUCAGCUAGUUGGUGAGGUAAUGGCUCACCAAGGCUAUGACCAGUAGGGGGCCUGAGAGGGUGUUCCCCAACGACGAGACUGAGACACGGCUCGUACACCUACGGGUGGCAGCAGUCGAGAAUAUUCGACAAUGGGCGAAAGCCUGAUCGAGCGACGCCGCGUGCAGGAUGAAGGUCUACGGAUUGUAAACUGCUUUUCUACAUGAUAAAGCGCAAGCUGAUAGUAAUGUAGGAAUAAGGAGCGGCUAACUUCGUGCCAGCAGCAGCGGUAAUACGAAGGCUCCAAGCGUUAUCCGGAUUUAUUGGGCGUAAAGAGUGCGUAGGAGGAUUUUUAAGUUUGCUGUUAAAUCUCGAGGCUCAACUUCGAGGCCGCAGUGAAAACUGAAAAUCUAGAGGGCGCGAGAGGCUGAUAGAACUCACGGUGUAGGGGUGAAAUCCGUUGAUAUCGUGGGGAAUACCAAAGGCGAAGGCAUUCAGCUGGCGCGUUCCUGACUCUCAAGCACGAAAGCGUGGGGAGCAAAAAGGAUUAGAUACCCUUGUAGUCCACGCCCUAAACGAUGCCUACUGGCUAUCUCGAGUAUCGACCCUCGGGGUGGCGAAGCUAACGCGUUAAGUAGGCCGCCUGGGAAGUACGGCCGCAAGGCUAAAACUCAAAGGAAUAGACGGGGACUCGCACAAGCGGUGGAGCAUGAGGUUCAAUUCGACAGUAAACGAGGAACCUUACCAGGGUUUGAAAUCCAGACGAAGUCCCGCAGAAACGUGGGAUGUCUCUCAAGGACGGCUGGACAGGUGCUGCAUGGUUGUCGUCAGCUCGUGUUUUGAAAUGUUCCCUUAAGUGGGGUAACGAGCGCAACCCCUACCUGAUGUUAUAUGUGUCAUCGGGAACUGCCCUCUUUUUGGGGGAGGAAGGCGGGGAUGACGUCAAAUCCGCAUGGCCCUCUGAUACCCUGGGCUACACUCGUGCUACAAUGGCCAUUACAAUGGGUUGCCAAGCCGCAAGGCGGAGCUAAUCCCAUCAAAAAUGGCCCCAGUUCAGAUUGGAGGCUGAAACUCGCCUCCAUGAAGUCGGAAUCGCUAGUAAUCGCGGAUCAGCUAUGCCGCGGUGAAUACGUUCUCGAGUCCUGUACUCACCGCCCGUCACUUCAGGGGAGCCGGGAAUAUCUGAAAUUUCACUUCGGUGGAACAAAGGUAGGCUCGGUGACAUGGAAGAAGUCGAAACAAGGCA
rnacentral:rRNA from 1 species